rnacentral:rRNA from 1 species
UACAGAGGUCCCAAGCGUUGUUCGGAUUCACUGGGCGUAAAGGGUGCGUAGGUGGCGCCAUAAGUCAGGUGUGAAAUUUCGGAGCUUAACUCCGAAACUGCAUUUGAUACUGUGGUGCUUGAGGACUGGAGAGGAGACUGGAAUUUACGGUGUAGCAGUGAAAUGCGUAGAUAUCGUAAGGAAGACCAGUGGCGAAGGCGGGUCUCUGGACAGUUCCUGACGCUGAGGCACGAAGGCCAGGGGAGCAAACGGG